CAGUCGCCACGGGAAUACGUAGGCGGCAAGCGUUGUCCGGAAUUACUGGGCGUAAAGCGCGCGCAGGCGGAUCAGUUAGUCUGUCUUAAAAGUUCGGGGCUUAACCCCGUGAUGGGAUGGAAACUGCUGAUCUAGAGCAUCGGAGAGGAAAGUGGAAUUCCUAGUGUAGCGAUGAAAUGCGUAGAUAUUAGGAAGAACACCAGUGGCGAAGGCGACUUUCUGGACGAAAACUGACGCUGAGGCGCGAAAGCCAGGGGAGCGAACGGGAUUAGAUACCCGCGUAGUCCCUGUCUCUUAUACA
rnacentral:rRNA from 1 species